rnacentral:misc_RNA from 1 species
GAUGAAGAACGUAGCGAAAUGCGAUAAGUAGUGUGAAUUGCAGAAUUCAGUGAAUCAUCGAAUCUUUGAACGCACAUUGCGCCCCAUGGCAUUCCGUGGGGCAUACCUGUUCGAGCGUCAUUUCAACCUUCGGGCGGUCCUUUGGUCCGUCUGGAUUUGGGUGUCGUCUAAUGGCGUGUCUUAAAAGAAUUGGCGGUGUAGGUGCCGGCUUCGAGCGUAGCAGAUGCGAUUCGCUUUGGAAGCUGGCGUGCUCACCUUGCCAGAAAAGUCUCUGAAGAGCUGACCUCGGAUCAGGUAGGGAUACCCGCUGAACUUAAGCAUAUCAAUAAGCGGAGGA